CUAAAAGGGUGUCAUGGGAGACAGGGGCCCCGGAGCUCUUAUUGUGACAACUAUGAAACUGAAAACAGUGGGGAACGGCAAUCAAAUGUAAGGAUCUCCUAACUGGCACUUUAAGAUUCAAAAUCAUGAAAUCCUUAGUCUUCUGGCUGCUGAACCUUGAAUUUGUUUGUAGUUCAACACGUCUGUGAUUAUCUCGGAAUGGGAAAGACAAAGAAGACGUGAACCCACUGACUGCUAAGGAUAUGCUUUUGUCAAAAAAGCUGCUGAGAAAGAAAAAGAAAAAGGAAAAGAAAAUUGUUCUGAGACCUCGAGUUCCCUACAGCGUGAGCCAGCAUCACAUACUCAGCGGUGAGAGCGUCCUGGGCUUGAAUGAAUGAAUGCGCUGCUUCCCACGCGGCCCUACGUGACCAACCACUUUCCUAUGCUCCCGAACACCACCUUCUUCCCUUCUGAAGCCAUCACUGGACUCCUCGCCUUUCACUGUGGCAUGUUUUACCUUUAAAGCAUUGCAUUAGCAAACAGUUUAUUUUUUCGUCAGCUGUAAUCAGUUUUUGAAUUCUGUUGUGUUUUAUUU